rnacentral:rRNA from 1 species
CCGGAGCUAAUACCGGAUAAUAUAUUGAACCGCAUGGUUCAAUAGUGAAAGACGGUUUUGCUGUCACUUAUAGAUGGAUCCGCGCCGCAUUCGCUAGUUUGUAAGGUAACGGCUUACCAAGGCAACGAUGCGUAGCCGACCUGAGAGGGUGAUCGGCCACACUGGAACCGAGACACGGUCCAG